rnacentral:rRNA from 1 species
CCCGCUGAACUUAAGCAUAUCAAUAAGCGGAGGAAAAGAAACCAACAGGGAUUGCCCUAGUAACGGCGAGUGAAGCGGCAACAGCUCAAAUUUGAAAUCUGGCCCUCGGGUCCGAGUUGUAAUUUGUAGAGGAUGCUUUUGGUGAGGUACCUUCCGAGUUCCCUGGAACGGGACGCCAUAGAGGGUGAGAGCCCCGUCUGGUUGGAUACCGAUCCUCUGUAAAGCUCCUUCGACGAGUCGAGUAGUUUGGGAAUGCUGCUCUAAAUGGGAGGUAUAUGUCUUCUAAAGCUAAAUAUUGGCCAGAGACCGAUAGCGCACAAGUAGAGUGAUCGAAAGAUGAAAAGCACUUUGAAAAGAGAGUUAAAAAGUACGUGAAAUUGUUGAAAGGGAAGCGCUCAUGACCAGACUUGGGCUUGGUUGAUCAUCCAGGGUUCUCCCUGGUGCACUCUUCCAGCUCAGGCCAGCAUCAGUUCGCCGCGGGGGAUAAAGGCUUUGGGAACGUGGCUCCUCCGGGAGUGUUAUAGCCCACUGCGUAAUACCCUGUAGUGGACUGAGGUUCGCGCAUCUGCAAGGAUGCUGGCGUAAUGGUCAUCAGCGACCCGUCUUGAAACACGG